UACGUAGGUGGCAAGCGUUGUCCGGAAUUAUUGGGCGUAAAGCGCGCGCCGGCGGUUCUUUAUGUCGGAUGUGCAAUCCCUGGGCUCCACCCAGGAAAUGCAUCCGAGACUGGAAGGCUAGAGUACUGGAGAGGGUGGUGGAAUUCCUCGUGUAGCGGUGAAAUGCGUAGAGAUGAGGAGGAACACCAGUGGCGAAGGCGGCCACCUGGACAGUAACUGACGCUGAGGCGCGAAAGCGUGGGUAGCAAACAGG
rnacentral:rRNA from 1 species